CAGUCUUUGGAUUCCUCUUGUUCCAUCCACAGCACAGUAUCCUACGAGUUGGACAAGAUUUGGAUGCUCCACUAUACCAAGAAAUUGAACUUCUGCCAGCCACUGCUUGUGGCCCUAUUUGCAAAAUAGAAAUGGUACACUCCGAGUUGACGUUAGAGAGCACGAAGAAGCAGCCGUCCGACUGCAUCCCGAAAAGUCAGAUUCUAGCUCCCCUUUCAAUUCAGGAGAUCGAUGAGACCCAGAUGGGAUCAAGGGAAAGGGCUAAUUUGUUGAGUCUGGCUUGAAGUUUCAGAAUCCAUUUGAGCCUAUGGGUAUGUACAGUUGAUGUUCGGUGGGUGAACUGAAUGAAUGAAUCAAUGAAUUUUACUGCUCUGUUUUGCUUUUUGGAUGUCAAAUAGUUGAAGAUAGAAGCAUGGUCAAAGGGGAACCCAAAGGAUAGACAAAAUUAUGAUUUUUUUUUUCUAUUAAUUGCAAAUUUGGCCCCAGUUCGAACGU